AGUGGGAAUUUUGGACAAUGGGCGCAAGCCUGAUCCAGCCAUGCCGCGUGAGUGAAGAAGGCCUUCGGGUUGUAAAGCUCUUUAGUCCGGGACGAAAUCGCACGCGUGAAUAUCGCGGGUGGAUGACGGUACCGGAAGAAUAAGCACCGGCUAACUACGUGCCAGCAGCCGCGGUAAUACGUAGGGUGCGAGCGUUAAUCGGAAUUACUGGGCGUAAAGCGUGCGCAGGUGGUUUUUUAAGUCAGACGUGAAAUCCCCGGGCUUAACCUGGGAACUACGUUUGAAACUGGAAGACUAGAGUGUGGCAGAGGGGGGUGGAAUUCCUGGUGUAGCAGUGAAAUGCGUAGAGAUCAGGAGGAACACCGAUGGCGAAGGCAGCCCCCUGGGCUAACACUGACGCUCAUGCACGAAAGCGUGGGGAGCAAACAGGAUUAGAUACCCUGGUAGUCCACGCCCUAAACUAUGUCAACUGGUUGUUGGGAGAGUUAAAUCUCUUAGUAACGAAGCUAACGCGUGAAGUUGACCGCCUGGGGAGUACGGCCGC
rnacentral:rRNA from 1 species